rnacentral:ncRNA from 1 species
GUAAACCCGUUGAAAAGCGGCGACACAAAGCCAGAUGGGUCUAAGGUUUGAUAAGAGAAGUAGAUCAGACUAUGACAGCCGGUUGCAG